rnacentral:rRNA from 1 species
GUACACGCUGUGACUAGCAUAUCAAUAAGCGGAGGAAAAGAAACUAACAAGGAUUCCCUUAGUAACGGCGAGUGAAGCGGGAAGAGCUCAAAUUUGAAAUCUUGAAAGGUCACCUUUCACGAAUUGUAGUUUAAAGAAGUGUUUUCUGUUACGAUCGUAAUAUAAGUUCUUUGGAAUAGGACAUCACAGAGGGUGAGAAUCCCGUCUAUGAUUGCGAUUUGUAGCUUUGUGAUACACUUUCAAAGAGUCGGGUUGUUUGGGAAUGCAGCCCAAAACGGGAGGUAAAUUUCAUUCUAAAGCUAAAUAUUGGCGAGAGACCGAUAGCGAACAAGUACCGUGAGAGAAAGAUGAAAAGAACUUUGAAAAGAGAGUUAAAUAGUACGUGAAAUUGUCAAAAGGGAAGCGUUUAACACCAGUGUUGUUUUCUGAAAAUCAACCUCUGUUAGCUUUAUGCAUGUUUGUUUAGACCUAAUCAGCUAUCUUUCAUGUUCUAUUGUUUGCAGUGGUGCACUUUUCAGUUUACAGGUCAACAUCAGUUUUUUUUACCGUAAAAAAGUUAAAGAAAGGUAGCUCAUGGCUCCGGUCGUGAGUGUUAUAGUCUUUUUCCUAUGCGGUAGGAGAGACUGAGGUCUGCAGUGUAGGCUAUUUGGCUAGAUACUCAGGUGCUAUGUGAUACCAUUUCAUAAACAACUUGUUGAUUAUGUUUUGUCUAUUGCAUACUCGCUUGUACUAUCAUACCUACGCUUAGGAUGUUGAGUAGCGACAUACGCAC